rnacentral:rRNA from 1 species
UACGUAGGGUGCGAGCGUUGUCCGGAAUUAUUGGGCGUAAAGAGCUCGUAGGCGGUUUGUUGCGUCGGCUGUGAAAACUUCACGCUUAACGUGGAGCCUGCAGUCGAUACGGGCAUCACUGGAGUUCGGCAGGGGAGAAUGGAAUUCCUGGUGUAGCGGUGGAAUGCGCAGAGUAUCAGGAGGAACACCGAUGGCGAAGGCAGGUCUCUGGGCCACUACUGACGCUGAGAAGCGAAAGCAUGGGGAGCGAACAGG